UACGGGGGGAGCAAGCGUUGUUCGGAGUUACUGGGCGUAAAGGGCGCGUAGGCGGUUGAUUAAGUGAGAUGUGAAAUCCCUGGGCUUAACCUAGGAACUGCAUCUCAUACUGGUCAGCUAGAGUAUUGUAGAGGGUAGUGGAAUUUCCGGUGUAGCGGUGAAAUGCGUAGAGAUCGGAAGGAACACCAGUGGCGAAGGCGGCUACCUGGACAAAUACUGACGCUGAGGCGCGAAAGCGUGGGGAGCAAACAGG
rnacentral:rRNA from 1 species